CACUCUCAGAGGAAGUGUAUGGCCAGUCUUUGUGAACAAAGAUUUGGGAAAGGUCUUUACCCUUUGAGCCUGCACAGUGGAUUUUUUAGGUGAGACACAGUGUGCGCUGAGCUGAGCCCACCCUCUAAUCCUAGGGUUCAUCUGCUGGGGCUGAGUGAGCUUGGACAGUGGCAGCGAGGUCCUCAGGACGUAGGUUUGUUUAGAGUGACCUUCUCUUAGAUGGGUGGCCUUACAGGCUGAUGAGCGCCAUCUGCCCGGGGGAAUUCCCUGACCAGGAAUCGAACCCAGGGCGCAGCGAUGAGAGUGCUGCAUCCUAAC